rnacentral:lncRNA from 1 species
UGGCAGCUUCUGUGUUUGGGAUUCUGGGUGCUUUCCCAGGUAACUGGGUGCUGUUCAUGUGGCUCACCUGGGCUUAUUGUAUUUGCAGAAAUAACAGCUGGGAUCUACAGUGGCCAUAAGAGUUGUCUCCGUCUUGCUACAUCGACAAACUGGUGCUUCUGAGUGAGGAUUGUGCCCUGGGAUGGGGGAUUCAGUUUCUUCAUUUAUAGUUGGAAGUGUGAAGUAGCCACUUCGGAAGCGUUUUCCUCUCCACUCUGUGACAACAGGCAAGAGUGAGGGUCCAACAAUACAGAGGAAGUAACGUGUCGCUGCUACUCUUCCAUGCCCAGUGCCAGGAGCGACGGUACACUCCAGAGUGCUGUGCCCUGAUGGGCCUUUGAGCGGCCAGUGCAGUGGAUCAUCAGCCCUGUCUCCCAAGAGCUCCAAUCUCUUCUCUGGAGAGGAAGGAAGUGAGUCCACUGGCAGCUCAGGAGGCCAUAGCAGGAUUGUCACGUGUGCUCAACAGUCCUCCUCGGCUUUCCAGAAGAGGCUGGAACAGGGCCCUUGAAGGUAUGACUCCAGAUGCCUCACUAUAGAGCUGCAGUGGGCCAGCAGAGGCCACAGUCAUGAAGAAAAGCUGAGGCUGCUUCCCCACCUGGGCCAGCGGGAACUUGGCUCUUCCAGCCCCUGACACCUCACUUCCCCACAUCUUCAUAGUGUGAAGUAAAGAGCUACACUAGGGUCACAGGAGCCCCUGGGAACCUGCAUGGUUUCAUUGGGUUCUGCAGUUGGCUUGAGAAUGGCUACAACUGGGGUGCAGUUAGCCUUCUCUGAACUUGGUGGGCACUUGUUAGGGAGCAGUCCCGUCCCAGACUCAUGAGGACUCAUGAGUCCUCAGAAGUUAACCCCCUGCCCCAAACUUGUCUUUUUUCAUUCAUUGUCUUAGUAAGAGACCACUGAAGUAAUGGUUCUCAAAUUGUGGUCUCUGAAGCAACACUACCACCAUCCCUUGGAGUGUGUGAGACUGGUCCUGCCUGCAGGCAGCAGUAUUU